rnacentral:rRNA from 1 species
UACGGAGGGUGCUAGCGUUGUUCGGAAUCACUGGGCGUAAAGGGCGUGUAGGCGGUCUGUUAAGUCUGAUGUGAAAUCCCCUCGCUCAACGAGGGAACUGCGUCGGAUACUGGCAGACUCGAGUACCGGAGAGGAAGGUGGAAUUCCCGGUGUAGCGGUGAAAUGCGUAGAUAUCUGGAGGAACACCGGUGGCGAAGGCGGCAUCCUGGACCGGUAUUGACGCUGAGGCGCGAAAGCCAGGGGAGCAAACGGG